CUGCAUGGAAAAUAUUUAUUGUUGUUGUAUCUACUAUCAAUAAUAAUAAAUAGUGUAGUGGAAUGUAUCUGUUGUUCCAAGUAGCAAUACAAUUGUUGUUUAAAACACAAAUUAUUUACAGUCUUAGGGUAACAUAUCUUUCCCCCUCUCCCCUCACCCCCCAUCCAGAAAAAGAACCAAGUAAGAACCAAGCAUUUAAUGGUUUUACAGUUGAACCAAGACCAAACAGAUGUUAAUUUUGGAAAUGCACACUGGAGAUUUAGUUCACUUGUUUGGGGUUUUUUUUUUCUUUUCUUUUUUUGGUGGGGACAAGAAUACCUUUAUUGAAAAAUUAAUCUCAGAAGUUAUGGAACUAAUUGAGUGUUAUUCACAACCUGUCAGAAAUCUUGUUUGCAGAUUGUCUGAAUUAUUUGAGUAGUUUAACACACCUCAAACAAAGACAAAUUUAAAUAGACUAUCUUGGAACAUCUGCUACAUAAAGUAGAAGAAAUGUAAACUAUUUUUUUCUAAUUGUCUUGGCAAAUAGUAGUUUAAGGUAAAGUUUUCAUUGAUGAAACACUUGAAACUAAAUAAACCUUUCUUAUUAUAAUCUUUCUACUCUAAUUCUAUCUAAUAGGAAAUGUGAAUUACCAUUAAGUUCCAAUAAAAUAUGUGAAUUUAAAAGAGGCAGCUCCAUGAGGACCAAAGAGAGAAAAAAUGACAGUGCAAGCUCUCUAAUAUCUAAAGAGAAUCCCUGUUUAAUAUCAUUCUCUCAGUGGCUCAUAAGGCAUGUUUCUGGUGCUUAUCACCUUGGGCUUUGGUCUUUCAGGUGUCCUGAGUUUUGUGGUAGAAAAGUGCUUUUACUGUUCCUGACAACAAGUUGUUUGUUACACAGGAGAACACCUAGGCAAUGGGGUUUUUUGAGUAUUCUGGACACUGAUGUUACAUAUUCUUGUAUCUCUGUUCCAUUUCCUAUGUAAUGAAUGCUGCCUUAUUGCUCAGGUUCUGAAGGGUUUCCCCAUUCAUGCCGGUUUCUUAUUCAUACCACUUUGUUACCCAUAAGGGCAAUACUUCUAAAGAAGCAUGGUUACCAUUCUCUGUUGCAGGGAUUAGGGAAGCAAGGUGUUAACAAUUCACUCUCCUUUUCCCGCUCGUAAUCCUUAUGGCCUGGCAGAUGUAAUUUUUUUUGACAUACUGCAUGACCAGCAGAUGCCAAAAGUUUGCUGUUGGGGAAGACUUUGAGGAACUGUUUCCCAAGUACAUGUUUUCUAUUGAAUAAAACUCAUGCUUUUUAAUUUAUUUAAAGCUUAAAUAGUCGCACUGUAAUACCUUUGGCAUACUGCAGUCCAUUGAUUAAACUCAAAUUCAUUUGUGCUUAUGUCACUUUCACGUUGAAGAUGAUAUUAUUUUAAAGAUAACUUGCUUGCAGUACCAGGGCUUUUGAUAUCUCAUUAAAAAAAUCGUCUUCCCUCCAUAUACCUUCAUACCAGUUCAGCAAAUCUCCCAAGUCUUUGUGCUUUAUUUUUUUUCAAAGGCAAACCAUGUACCUGUUCUUACCUCUGCUAGGUCAAUCAGUUUAUGCCUCUGUGGGACCCACUUUUUAUACAACUCCUGCUGUAAUCUUCAAAAACAUUAUUAAGGUCAACAGCUGUAACUUGAAACUAGGUCCUGAAGGAGUUUCAGGACUGGACUGAGAAGUCAAAGUUUUAGGGCACAAAUAUCAAAGAGGCAAUUAAAACUGCAAAUUGAGAUAUCAAAAAAUAAGCUUUAGGAAGAGAUCAGGCUAAUGGUGGUUUAGGGAAUGGGUAGAAGGAUAGAAGGUGGAGGAAAAAGGAAGAAGGCUUUGUAACCACUCAAGUGCUGUCUUGGUUGCCUUCUGUUUUCUUGGAGGAACUGUUAACCCUUCAUGAGCAGCUCUGCAAUCUAUUGACAAAAUGAGAGCUGUUCUCCCACCAAAACACGGAAAGAAGAUGGUGGUAGGAGUUGGGAUUUGUUCAACCUUCAACUUGCUGCAAGCAGUUUGAUCUUUCCUAGAUCACAGAUAAAACAGUAUUGCUCAGUUCCAGCAACACAGACCUUGACCUGUGCUGGGAGGGUUUCUUAGGUUUCCAUUAGCACGUAAUGUAACACAGUCAGAGCAAAUCUGUUGAGAGGUGCUUAGGUUUUGAUGUCUGUACUAUCUGUGCAUGUUUUUAGAGCUUUGCUUUGGACACGCUGUCGUGUCUGUUUCUAUGGACAGAGAGCCUCUUGGCAGUGGGAAUGAAUGAGGUGCAGUCACAGUGUAAGCCAAAGCUUGUAAUAGUUGAUAUUUGAGAUAUACUUCAGAUGGAUAUUCUUAAUCUGUAAUGUAGAUGUACCUCUCAUUUUUUCCAGUCCUCUUCAGUACCGUCUCUAUGUCCUAGCUAGCCUGUGUUAUUAUUGAUUACUUGUCUUGCAAAUCAGGGCAGUGUUGGCUUACUUUUAUAAAUCUAAGUACAUUUCUUUGUAAUCAGAUCGUUGCAACUGACCUCUUGGUUACAACGAGUUCUGAAUUUAUAGUUUGCUUUCUUAUAGAGUGCUUUCUUAAAAUUGAUAGGAAGAUAGGAAAUGAGUGUGUCAGAUGCCAGUAUACUGAUAAAAAAACACAUUUUUUCAAGAUAGAUUCAGAAGUUCACUUUCAAAAUGUUGUCUGUCUUGCCUUUGGAGGUAGUCUUCCCAAAAAUAGUUAAUUUCAAUAUGGUAGCAUAUUAUACCAUGUAAAAUUAGAAAGUUCCCAGCUUCAUUAGUUGUCCCCAUUUUUGCACUGAAAUUCCAAACUGCGUAAUCCUCAGUUAUUCACAUUUGAACAGUUGAACUGUGAAAAUUUUACUUGGGAUAGCUUCCAGCUAGUCUUUUAUCAACAUUGUCAUGCUAAGAAAGUUACUGAAACCAGAACAGUCUUCACAGGUUGCUGCUAACUAGGCCUAGAUAACGAGAACCAUACCACCAUAGAGAGAUCCGAUUGCUACUUUGUACAAGGGCUAUGUGGUUUUGGUUGUGAUAAACUCACAGGCAGCUAUGUAAUAAAGACAGACAUGUAAGAUGAUAAAUUAUGUAAAGAAUUGGGCCAAAAGUAUCUUAAAUUUGGCAGUCAGUAGUGUGGAUUUUAACUUGAAUUUGUCUAAGUCACAGUUUCUCUCAGGUGAGAUGGAAAUAGUGUGCUACUUCACCUCAGAAGCUUCCUGAAUGUUUGUUCAUCCUCGUGAAACUUCUGAAAGCCUUACAUUUCAAUAUUCAUGCUUUUUAAAAUGCAGUUGUUUAUAUAGGAAGCUGAAUGAGUCUCAUGGCAGUUGAAGUUCAGCCUGAUGGAGAUCUUUUGGGUUUUGAUUAUCUUCCUGACAUGCUGCAGAGGAAGAGGGGAAAUCUGUUAGAGUGCACAAAGGGAGGAGUUGUUAAUAAGAUGCAAAAACCCAUUUGUCCUUUAUCAGUUCUUAAAGUUAGGUUUUUUUUGCUACAUGUCUUCCAGAGAGACUGGAGGAAACACCUGAACAGCGAUCACUGGGAGAGUAAUCCAUAGGAACAUGACAACAUCUCUACUUCCACUUAUACUCUUUGACCUAAUGAAACCGUGCAGAUGAAUAAGUGGUAUACCUUUUACACAUAUGAAAAGACUUACAAAAUAGCGUGCUUUCAUACAACAUUGAUUGCUUUACUUUAAAGCUAGUAUUCACUCACUUUGUUUUGAACUGUGCUGGCUUUUGUAAUACCGUGCCAGUUUAUGUAUGCUGACUAAUACAUUGGAAACUUUUCUGAACAAGUUUAUUCUUAUCUUAAGGAACAGCGGCAACUACUGUAUUUUAAUUAGGAGCUUGUGAACUUGCCCCCGAUACAUGCAGUUCCAUGUUUACUUGAAACUUGUGUUAAGUGGAAGCUGUUGCUGAAAUGCAGGAAGUGUCAUGUCCUCUUCUUGCUUGGUUGUGUUGGCACUUGUGCUUGUAAUGGUGACAUGGUGAAUCAUAGCAGGAAAUUUAUUUGGCAGAAAAUGAAUCUAUUUUUAUUUUCCUAGCUAACUUUCAGAUGGAUCAUUUCCCUGACCUGACUCACGGUGUAGCUGCACAAACAGUAGUGCCGGCACACACCGGGAUGCAUGAGCAGCAGCAUGGAGGGGCAGGAUAGCUUCCUCCUAGAGGCAGCCCCCACCUUUGCAAGACUAAAUCAGUUAUAGAAUUGCACCUAAAACUUAAUUUAACACUACAACCAGACUGCAGCACAACUAGUUUAUAUUUCAGGAUGGUUUUCUUUGAAGGUUAUGUUCAGAAAAGGGCCACUGAUUUACUCUCUGUGCUAGUGCUAAAUGUGAUUGAAUUAAAAAAUACCACCAGGAGGUUAGCUAGUUCCUAUUCCUGUGUGUUUAUAGUUUUUAAACAAACAUUAAUUUUUUAACACAAUAGUGACUUGGCUAAUGUCUGAAACAUUAAGUGGUUCUUUAAUCCAAAUCAUACAGUAGCUUUGUAAUCCUCUUAGGUUUAGACUUUGAAAGCUGUUUAAAAAGAGUAUUUUAACAAAAAAAAAAAAGGACCCCACCCAAAGCUUAUGGUACACUCUGAGGCUAGUGAGUUGCUGGCUUCUGGGUAUUACUGAAGAUCAAAUUUAUACUUAGUGCUCUCAGAGUUGAGAAUAUACAUGCGGUGUUGGUGGACAAUCACUGAAACUUCAGAUGAUAUUAAUUUUUAAGCCUCUUGAGUUUUCCGUAGAGCUUCUACUAUAUUUGAUAGAAUUCCUGUAAGGGUAGAUUUUGGCUGAAAUUCAUUCUUUGAAAGCCUGCUUCUGGAUUUGUUUGGUUAUAUACCAAAAUUUGGAGAAUGAUCAAGCUCGUUAUGAUUUCAACUUGCACGAUGAAUAUUUGAAAUGAAUUUUUGUUGUAAACAUUUGUAUUUGGGAUCCCUUGGGAUGGUUUUCAAUCACAGCCAAGAUCUUGCACAUUUAAUUUACACCAUGUGCAUAGGAUUUUAUGUGGAACUGCUGUUGGCACAAAGAGGCUUAUGUAGGCUGAUGAACUUCUCCCUCACUUGAUCCAACCAUCCUUGCUCCAAAGGAGACAGGGUAUUGCUGUUACGUGCAGCAGUGUGGGCAACCAUGCUAAUACCAGACCAGAUAGAUAAAUUGCAUGGUGAAUGAGUGUCAUGUUCUUCAGGCACAUACAAACACCUUGUAGUUUCCCGUUUGCCACAACCACAGUGCUAGCUCUCUUUUCUAGUAAAAAUAACAAACAGACAAACAAAAAGCCACAAAACCAAACCAAAGAAAUCCAGCUUUUCUUGGGAAUCCUUUCUAACACUUUUCUACAGCAACCUCUCCAAGAAGAUACCUGUAGAUAUUUUUUAGUCUACCAAGAGAGAGUUAGGGAAGCAGUUAUGGUCAAGGUGCAUUAUUUGUGGUAUAUAAUAGCUGUGUAAUACAUACUUACGUAAAAGCUCAAGUGACGUAUUUUUUUUGUGCCAGCCUUCCAAGUAUCAGUAUAGUCAUUAAUAGAUAAUGCUACAAAUGUUUAGUGUACUGGUAAUGAGAGAUUAAAUAAUCUGCUGUAGAUAGGCAAAUAAUAAUAGACAUUAACUUUAAUAAUAAAAGCUUGACCUACUCAAACAAGGUUGCAUUCUAAAAAAUUCUAAUAUUAAUAGAUAUUUUGGGUGUUUUUGAGGAACAUAUUUCAAUAAUGAGACUUAGUCUUACCUAAGAACAUAAAAUAUGAAUUUGUGUUGGUUUCUUGUGAUGAAUUUUCCUGUAAAAGAGGUAACAAGUUACUACUCCAAAACUGGGUAAAAUAGAGGGGAGAAAAAAAGGUCUUUUUAUUGAGAGGCAACAUGAGUGCCAAAGCAUUAUGAUCUGGCUGCCCAUAGUGUGUCUGACCUUUCUUUACAAAAGGAAAAUAUCUCUCUAAUAAAGUGGAUAGAAAGUUGCAGGUCUU